rnacentral:rRNA from 1 species
AUUGAACGCUGGCGGCAGGCCUAACACAUGCAAGUCGAGCGAGCGGCGGACGGGUGAGUAAUGUAUGGGGACUGCCUGAUAGAGGGGGAUAACUACUGGAAACGGUGGCUAAUACCGCAUACUAUCGGAUAACCCAUAUGGGAUUAGCUAGUAGGUAAGGUAAUGGACUAACUAGGCAACGAUCCAUAGCUGGGCUGAGAGGAUGAUCAGACACACUGGGACUGAGACACGGCCCAGACGCCUACGGAGGCAGCAGUGGGGAAUAUUGGACAAUGGGCGCAAGCCUGAUGCAGCCAUGCCGCGUGUAUGAAGAAGGUCUUAGGGUUGUAAAGUACUUUCAGUCGGGAGGCGUUACCGACAGAAGAAGCACCGGCUAACUCCGUGCCAGCAGCCGCGGUAAUAC